GACGAACGCUGGCGGCGUGCCUAAUACAUGCAAGUAGAACGCUGAAGGCGGAGCUUGCUUCUCUGGACGAGUUGCGAACGGGUGAGUAACGCGUAGGUAACCUGCCUGGUAGCGGGGGAUAACUAUUGGAAACGAUAGCUAAUACCGCAUAACAGUAGAUAUCGCAUGAUAUCUACUUGAAAGGUGCAAUUGCAACACUACCAGAUGGACCUUCGUUGUUUUAGCUAGUUGGUGAGGUAACGGCUCUCCAAGGCGACGAGACAUAGCCGCCCUGCGAGGGGGAUCGGCCCCCCUGGGAGUGAGACCCGGCCCAGACUGCUACGGGGAGCAGCCGUAGGGAAUCUUCGGCCAUGGGCGGAAGUCUUACCGAGCUACGCCGCGUGCGUGAAGAAGGUCUUCGGCUCGUGAAUCUCUGUUGUCAGAGAAUAACGAGUGUGAGCCUGGAAAGUUCACUCUGUGACGGUAUCUUACCAGGAAGGGACGGCUAACUACGUG
rnacentral:rRNA from 1 species